UACGAAGGGGGCUAGCGUUGCUCGGAUUGACUGGGCGUAAAGGGCGCGUAGGCGGUUCGUACAGUCAGACGUGAAAUUCCUGGGCUCAACCUGGGGGCUGCGUUUGAUACGUGCGGACUUGAGUGCGGAAGAGGGUCGUGGAAUUCCCAGUGUAGAGGUGAAAUUCGUAGAUAUUGGGAAGAACACCGGUGGCGAAGGCGGCAUCCUGGACCGGCAUUGACGCUGAUGAGCGAAAGCCAGGGGAGCAAACGGG
rnacentral:rRNA from 1 species